AACGCGUCUUAGACUGCUCUCAGUUAUAACUGAUGAGUUCAAAUAAGAACGAAACGCGUC
rnacentral:hammerhead_ribozyme from 11 species